UUGCAGUGAGCCAAGAUCGCGCCGCUGCAUUCCAGCCUGGUGACAGAGUGAGACUCUGUCUCAAAAAAAAAAAAAGGUAAAUCUUAUUUUAUGUAUAUUUACCACCAUAAAACAAAUCAAAAAAAUGAAAGGAAGAGGUCUACAGAACAAGUACAGAUUAUUCUAUUGUGUAAGAAAACACAUAUAGUCUGGACACAGUGGCCCAUGCCUGUAAUCCUAGCACGUUGAGAAGCCAAGAUGGGAGCAUCACUUGAGCGCAGAAGUUCAAGACCAGCCUGGGCAACAUAGUGAGAAUGUGGGUCUUUUUACUUUUACAAAAAACAAAAAAUUAAAAAAAGAAAACAGACAUAUCUAUAUGCUGGCAAAUGCAUAGAAAAGAACCUGUAAGGGGCUGGGCACGGUGGCUCACUCCUGUAAUCCCAGCACUUUGGGAGGCUGAGAGCAGCACAGAGCCCAUUCUGUUCCAGAAGGAAAACCACAGAAGGAUGGUUUUGUUGUGUAAGAGAUUCUGCAGAAGGGGACCUUCAUGCUGCUCUCAAAAGAAGAAGCUAGUUGUCUGAAAUCCAGAGGUUGACCAAAGGCUUUUCUAACCAGAAGUUCCAGACCAGCCUGGCCAACAGAGCGAAACUUUGUCUCUACUAAAAAUACAAAAACUAACUGGGCAUGGUGGUGGGCACCUAUAAUGCCAGCUAUUUGGGAGGCUGAGGCACGAGAAUCAUUUGAACCCGGGAGACGGAGGUUGUAGUGAGCUGAGAUCACAACCAUUGCACCAUUGCACUCCAGCCUGGGCAAGAGAGUGAGAUUCUGCCUCAAAAAAAGAAAAGAAAAGAACCUGUAAGGAGCAUCCUGUAAACAGUGUGGGCCUGGAAUUGGGGUGGGUGUUUGAAAGGAUGUUUCCAUUUUGAUUCUACUUAUUUUAUAACUGUUUGAAUAUUCUGCAAUGACAUUUUCUUUUGUAGUUUGAAAAAAAAAAUUUUAAGGUAUGUCUCCAAAAAGAAGUUGAACCCAAAGUUGAGUCAGAAGUCAACUGAUCUCUAAAAAUUCUUCAAUCUCACUUUGUGUGAUCCCCACAGAGAGCUGGAGAGUUUUCUAAAAAUAUGAAGAAGUGAUCUCUUUCAUUAUGGACAUACCUGAACAAAGCAAGCUAGCUCUUAGCAAAACAGGCAGUAAAGAUUUGCUUUUAAUGACCUUUACCAUCCAUUAGAAAUCAUCUUAGCCUUCACUUGUUUGCAGUCUCCCUUUCACCUGAGCUGCCAAUGCUUUCAAGCUAGUCUCUGGCUUACCAGAGCUCUAUACUAAGCUCCCAAACCCCAUCUUCCCUCUCCAAGCAUCAGCCCAUGUUCUGGACAUUUCCUUUCCCUUGUCAAAACUUAACUGCUUCUGGCUCCUUUUCACAAAAGACCUCGCUGAAUGAUUAAGGAAUUCAAUCAACCAAUUUUAGCUAACUCUUAAUAGCUUCAUUUGUCUCCCUAUUAGUAGAUAAUAUUUUAAUUUUAACACAGGCCUUCAAUGUAUUAAUUCAAAGGAAUGACUAAUAGCGUGUGUGGGUGGGGAUGAUGGGGUGGGGAGGGGAGAUUUUGCUAAUCACAUCACAUAAGCAGCUGCUUUGAAAAUAUCCCCACUUUCACUGGUUUUAUCAAAUUGCUCACUGUAAAUUUAUGAAAAGUAAAUGUUUUGUAUCUGGCAGGAGAUGCAAAAUUGGCUGGGAAUAUGUCAUGAAAUUAUUUGUUUAUAAUUAUUUAAUGGUUACCUUUGUAUAUAAUAUAUGUUGAUCCUAUUAACAAAAUAAAUCUGGC
rnacentral:lncRNA from 10 species